UCCCCACUCGCGACCCCGGCCCUGGCCGCCCUGGGCCGGCCGAGAGGGGGAAGGGGGAGGGUCCCACCGCUCCCGGAGAAGCGGGGAGAAAUCGGCCCUUUGCCCACUCAGCACUCCUGCAGCACCGACUCCUCAGGUCCUGGCCGAAGCACGAGAGCCCUGGCCCUCGCCAUACCCUAUCUCAGGCUGACCUUUGACCCCAUCGAGCCCUGACCCUGGGCUUCACCCGGACCCCUCCUGAGCUCUGACCUGGCUGCGCCCCGGGCCCGGGCUCCUACACACCUCUGGGUCGGGAGAGUUGGAUGUGAUGCGCUGGCUUCCAUCCCUGCGCCUCCGCAGGUGACAUCUCCCCACGAGGGUGGGCGUGGCAACCGUGGCCUGUGGUGGCCUUGCUGGCAGUUGUCCCAGACAGCCAACAGCUGUACCAACACCACGGGCUAGGCUCAGCUGAUUCUCUGCCCCGCGCGCCCCAAUACCUGGCCCUCGCUGGUACCAGUGAAGGACAGGCAGACUAUGCAAUCUGGGACACAGUUACCCACCGUGGCAGAGAAUAAUGCCCAGCAGACGUCCACAUCCUGACCCCAGAGCCUGGGAACGUGCCACCUCGCCUGAGAGAAGGAACCUUGAGAAGGGGAUGUCCUGGUUAUCCAGGCCAUGUGGUGAGCAGGUGGCUCCAGAAUCUAGGCCCAGGUCCUCCGAGCUCAGCCACCCCAGAAAAAGUCCCAGGGCUGCAUCUCAUUGGCCAGCUGGAGUCACAUGCUGUUCCUGAGCCAAUCACUGAGGUGAAGGUGCCUGGAGCACUCCUACUGGCUGGUGGGGCUGGUGGGGUUGCCCAGGUGGGUGAGGUUGUGGGCUGGACCAAUGUGGGGAGGAUCAGGCAGAAUGAAGCUAUGUGCAACCAACAGGAUGCAGAGAAGGGCCAGCUAAGGGGGCAGGGGAGGCACCCAGGCCCAGCCCCUGUCCUGGGAGGACCGGGGCUUCCUCAGAGACCACAUGCUCCAGAGGAGUCCCAGGAUCAGGGAGGCCGACCAGAGGCUCCAUGCUGGACAUGGCAGACCUGGGAUGUCCUUGAAGAGACACCCAGCAGGUGGUUGGCUCUCCAGGGCUGCAGUAGGGCAGGGUGGAGCCAGAAACGUGAAUUUGAGACUCCUUGGUGACCAGGCAGUAAUUGAAGCCGUGGGCCCAGGAGAUGCCAAAUGAGGAGAGGAGAGGAGAGGCCCCAGGAGAGCAGGAGGGCGCCUUCCACAGGGAAGCAGGGGAAGAGGGGCAGCCUUCCAGGGGGCUAUGGAGAGACCACCCCAAUGGCGGGGGUGUGGAUGACAGGGAGACUGAGGGUCCACCCUGCUGUGAGGUCAGGUAAGCAGGACAGCUCAGCUUCCCCAGGCAAAGGUCAUAGCAGGACUUCUGGACCCAAGACGAGGUGUGAUGGUGACUCAGGGGAGGCAGUGAGGGAAACUGGACAGGGCAGGGGGUGACCCCGGCUGGAGUCGGCCUCAGCCUGACCUGGGGGCCCUGGAGGGUGAGCUGCCCCCAGAGUCAGGUCCACCUGAGGCAAGAGGACCAGCUUUGGGGCUGUUGGUCACUCAUUGGCCACUCCUGCCCGAGAUGGGGGUGGUGCCUCCUGGGCUAGAGUCCAUCUCUGUGGAGGGACAGCUGUGAGCCACGGCAGCUGGGAAGGAGGUCUGGUGGUACCAGUGACACCUGCUUCACUCUAAGCAGCCCAGUUUCCGAUGGCCAAGAGGGAGAGGUUCCCCAGUGGUCCCCAGUGGGACCACAGACUGACCAGCAGCUGCUGGGGCCUGCGAGUCCACCGUACAACGUGGCCUGCUCCUGGCCUGCACUUAAAGCAGGUGCUGCGCCUGGCCGCAAGCUCUUGGCGGGGGCCUUGCCACCUCUGGUUCCCUGAGGCUGUCUAGCCCCUAAAUGCUCAGCCUGGGUGGCUGAGGCUUCAGGCGCAUUUCCGGAGCGCCAUGCUUGCUGAGCGGUACGCUGUUUGUGGUUAUGUAACAAAUGACCCCAAAACUUCAUGGCUUAAAACAGUAACAACCAUUUAUUCAGCUCACAGACCUGCAAAGCAGGAGCUGCUAGUCGGAACACCUCCACGUGGCCUGCGCGUCCUCACAACGUGGGUGUCAUGUCCUGGAAGCACCCGCGGGGCGGAAGCUGUGUACUGUCUGUCACAAAAGUCAUCAAGUUCAAGGAGGGGGACACGGAUCCCGCCUCUCAUCAGCCCCUUGCAGGGGGUGGGAGAGUCUGGAAGAGCAGGUGGGAACACAAAGAAA